GGGUCGAGAACGCCUAAUCCUGCCCAUCGGCCAGCGGAUUCCAACUAAGUAAGGGGCAGGAGCGGAGGACCCGAAUAUCGCCGGGACGCGGACUGUAUCCGCAGGUCCAAGGCUUGGGGUGAAUCUUCCGGGGGGAUAAAUAAUCUCCCGGUGGUAGGGCCACUUUCUUCCGGCCCGAAUCCGACAGCUCACUUCGCAGGCGUGGGAGAGAGGAAAA
rnacentral:sRNA from 2 species